rnacentral:rRNA from 1 species
GGAUGCGAUCAUACCAGCACUAAAGCACCGGAUCCCAUCAGAACUCCAAUGUUAAGCGUGCUUGGGCGAGAGUAGAACUAGGAUGGGUGACCUCCUGGGAAGUCCUCGUGUUGCAUUCC